rnacentral:rRNA from 1 species
UUUCUUACACCGAAUGCUUGCAUUCACCGUAAGAAGUUGAGUGGCGGACGGGUGAGUAACACGUGGGUAACCUGCCUAAAAGAGGGGGAUAACACUUGGAAACAGGUGCUAAUACCGUAUAUCUCUAAGGAUCGCAUGAUUCUUAGAUGAAAGAUGGUUCUGCUAUCGCUUUUAGAUGGACCCGCGGCGUAUUAACUAGUUGGUGGGGUAACGGCCUACCAAGGUGAUGAUACGUAGCCGAACUGAGAGGUUGAUCGGCCACAUUGGGACUGAGACACGGCCCAAACUCCUACGGGAGGCAGCAGUAGGGAAUCUUCCACAAUGGACGCAAGUCUGAUGGAGCAACGCCGCGUGAGUGAAGAAGGUCUUCGGAUCGUAAAACUCUGUUGUUAGAGAAGAACACGAGUGAGAGUAACUGUUCAUUCGAUGACGGUAUCUAACCAGCAAGUCACGGCUAACUACGUGCCAGCAGCCGCGGUAAUACGUAGGUGGCAAGCGUUGUCCGGAUUUAUUGGGCGUAAAGGGAACGCAGGCGGUCUUUUAAGUCUGAUGUGAAAGCCUUCGGCUUAACCGGAGUAGUGCAUUGGAAACUGGAAGACUUGAGUGCAGAAGAGGAGAGUGGAACUCCAUGUGUAGCGGUGAAAUGCGUAGAUAUAUGGAAGAACACCAGUGGCGAAAGCGGC